UCUCAAUUUUUUUGGUAUAAUUUUGUUUUUUUUUUCAAAUUUCAUCUUUAUUUGGUUUUUUCCUAUUAGAUUUUAAGCCUAUUUUUUUGCUGCUCCUUUACUUUUAAAAGUUUUUUUAUUAGCAUUGUCAUAACCCAAUUUUGGCCCUUUGGCUUUUAAUUUAAUUUUUACAGGGUUUUAAAAUGAAAAAUUAAAAGAUCAGAGAUUUAUUUCG
rnacentral:lncRNA from 1 species